rnacentral:lncRNA from 1 species
UCAUAUUUGUUUUUUUUGUUUUUUUUUUUUUAAGAUAGAUAGCACGCUACUCACUUCGUUUAUUUCAUUUAAAAAUAAAUUUAGCUGAAAAUGUGAAUCAACUAGAAUUCGAACUUGGGUCCCGAAUACCAACCACCAAAUCCUUUGCCACUUACUCUAGGGAUGGUCGGUUCAAAUUUAUUAAUAUAUAGCUUGAUACGAUUUCAUAAAAGAA